UACAGAGGUCUCAAGCGUUGUUCGGAUUCAUUGGGCGUAAAGGGUGCGUAGGUGGCGAGGCAAGUCUGAUGUGAAAUCCCGGGGCUCAACCCCGGAACUGCAUUGAAUACUGCUCGGCUAGAGUACUGGAGAGGAAACUGGAAUUCACGGUGUAGCAGUGAAAUGCGUAGAUAUCGUGAGGAAGACCAGUGGCGAAGGCGAGUUUCUGGACAGUUACUGACGCUGAGGCACGAAGGCUAGGGGAGCAAACGGG
rnacentral:rRNA from 1 species